CCUACGGGAGGCAGCAGUGAGGAAUAUUGGUCAAUGGGCGAGAGCCUGAACCAGCCAAGUCGCGUGAGGGACGACGGCCCUACGGGUUGUAAACCUCUUUUGCCGGGGGACAAACGGCGGCACGCGUGCCGUCCUGAGGGUACCCGGAGAAAAAGCAUCGGCUAACUCCGUGCCAGCAGCCGCGGUAAUACGGAGGAUGCGAGCGUUAUCCGGAUUUAUUGGGUUUAAAGGGUGCGUAGGCGGGAUGCCAAGUCAGCGGUCAAAUACGGGGGCUCAACCUGCGUCCGCCGUUGAAACUGGCGUUCUUGAGUGGGCGAGAAGUACGCGGAAUGCGUGGUGUAGCGGUGAAAUGCAUAGAUAUCACGCAGAACCCCGAUUGCGAAGGCAGCGUACCGGCGCCCGACUGACGCUGAAGCACGAAAGCGUGGGUAUCGAACA
rnacentral:rRNA from 1 species